rnacentral:rRNA from 1 species
UACGUAGGGUGCGAGCGUUGUCCGGAAUUAUUGGGCGUAAAGAGCUUGUAGGCGGUUUGUCGCGUCUGCUGUGAAAUCUCAAGGCUCAACCUUGAGCUUGCAGUGGGUACGGGCAGACUAGAGUGUGGUAGGGGAGACUGGAAUUCCUGGUGUAGCGGUGAAAUGCGCAGAUAUCAGGAGGAACCCCGAUGGCGAAGGCAGGUCUCUGGGCAUUAACUGACGCUGAGGAGCGAAAGCAUGGGGAGCGAACGGG